UUACAUCUAAUUGGAUAUAUAUAUAGGAUGGGUCUAUUCUAACAACACCCUUAAGACCUUAUUCUGCACACAAAAAUGUCUUAUUCUACUAACACCUCCUGACUCACACCUACAAACAAAGGCAACGAAUCCACCGGUCACCCCCUACACACGCACGAAUCCCGGCCCCGAUCCCCUCCACCUUCGCCCAACACACCCCCACCUAACUCACUACCUCCCAUGGCCGGCGUGCCAGCAACCCCCUCCCACCGGCCGCCGCCGUGCCCCCACCCCUCUACCUUUCUUCGACCACCGCCCUCGGUGCUUCACCUUCCCCCAACCCCACGCCCCACCUUCUACGCCGGCCGCCACCCUCCCCCCUCUUUCUUCAGUGCCACCCACAGUAGUGGCGAGAUCCGCCGCCACCGGGCCCCGGUGUGGCUUCAACCACCGGAUCCGGCCACCACGGCCCCCCGGCGCAGCCACAACCGCCGGAUCCGGCCACCACCGGCCCACGACGACGCAUUCAACCACCAGAUUCCGGCCGCCACCGGCCCCCGACGCACCUUGAAACCACCAGAAUCGGCCGUGACGGCCAUGGGUGCGGCAACCAGCCCCCCAUCUUCCCUUGGGCGGCUGUGAACUUCAUCUCCAUCACCGACGAGCCUCCCCUCUCCUCUGGCCGGAUUACAGCAAUCUCCACCGUGCCAUGGCCUGUCUUGCGCUGGCUUCGGCCGCCGAGGCCACUGGAUCCAUGGCAAGUGGAUCCCGUGCGUGCUAGAUCCGGCUAUGGUGCGCCCCUCCACUCCAUGCAGUUCUCUUCCCGUGAGGCUCGCCGUUCUCAAUCCCGAGCUCCAGGGCUCCUCAAUGACGACUCCGAAGAACAACCGUGGCCACCUGGAGGCGCAGAAAGGAGGGCAACAGCAGCGCCGCCGUGGACGGCCGGAGUCCUGCUCCUCCCCUUGUUCUCGUCCUUGUCUGCGUUCAGGCGCGGCUAUCAGCGUCGGCCGAUGCGGGUGUCACGUGCAGCUCGGCCCAUGGGGACGAGAAGUACGUCCCACUGGACAGCGCUGUAUUGUGUGGAAUCCUAGUACUGGACUGGCUUGGUCUUUCAAUGAGCUCCACAGGUCGUCCGCCGACGAGAUCCUCUGCUCACUGUUGUUCCCCACCUGAUGUCGAGCAGUGCAUGUUGCUUCUCAUUGCAGCUCGGUUGGGUCGCCGGUGCAGUACACAGGCACGUGAGAGGACGACGGGCAUGUAGUUUGGUUUCGGCUGUGCGUUGCUCCGGUAUGGAUGUGCGCGUCAUGCGUUUUACUCGACUGUGCGAAGAAGGUUCUUGGAGUCCCUCGGCGUGCAGUUUCGACAGCGGCUCGUCAGCUUGUCCCGUGUUUUACAGUUGGUGCCUCUGCGUGUGCAUUUUAGUAGUUGGCCGCCCCGUGUAGUUUAGUUAAUGUGUGUGUAUCUACAAAGAAGGAUUUUGUUUUUGAGCAUGUACCAUGCAGUUUGGAGCAUGUGAACAUGCAGUGCAAAAUGGUGCAUUUUGUUUUUGAGUAGUUUAUGUAUAAAAAUUACAGGGACUUUAUUUGAAAGUGUUCAGAAAUUGGGAAA